ACUCCUACGGGAGGCAGCAGUGGGGAAUAUUGGACAAUGGGGGAAACCCUGAUCCAGCCAUGCCGCGUGUGUGAAGAAGGCCUUCGGGUUGUAAAGCACUUUCAGUGGGGAGGAAAGGUUGAUGGUUAAUACCUAUCAGCUGUGACGUUACCCACAGAAGAAGCACCGGCUAACUCCGUGCCAGCAGCCGCGGUAAUACGGAGGGUGCAAGCGUUAAUCGGAAUUACUGGGCGUAAAGCGCGUGUAGGUGGCUUGUUAAGCCAGAUGUGAAAGCCCCGGGCUCAACCUGGGAACUGCAUUUGGAACUGGCAGGCUAGAGUUUUGUAGAGGGUGGUAGAAUUUCAGGUGUAGCGGUGAAAUGCGUAGAGAUCUGAAGGAAUACCGGUGGCGAAGGCGACCACCUGGCCAAUAACUGACACUGAGACGCGAAGGCGUGGGUAGCAAACGGGAUUAGAUACCCUGGUAGCUACGAGU
rnacentral:rRNA from 1 species